rnacentral:rRNA from 1 species
AUAAAUUGUAAAUUUAAAUAUUAAAUUAGUAUUAGUUAUGAUCUUGAAAAUUAAAAAUUUUGGCGGUAUUUUAGUCUUUUUAGAGGAACCUGUUCUAUAAUUGAUAGUCCACGAUUUAAGUUACUUUUUUUAAAAAUUUGUAUAUCGUCGUAGAUUUGAAUAUUUUAAAAGAAUAUAAAUAUUCGGAAUUUAUAAUAUUAAAUUAAAUCAGAUCAAGAUGCAGUUUAUAAAAAAGAAGAAAUGGGUUACAAUAAAUAUUUAUUUAUACGAAUAAAUAAUUGAAAAUUAUUUUAAAGGUGGAUUUAAAAGUAAUAAAAAUAAAUUUAUUUUAUGAUUUAAGCUCUAAAAUAUGC